rnacentral:rRNA from 1 species
GAGUUUGAUCAUGGCUCAGAUUGAACGCUGGCGGCAGGCCUAACACAUGCAAGUCGAGCGGUAACAGAGAGUGCUUGCACUCUGCUGACAAGCGGCGGACGGGUGAGUAAUGCUUGGGAAUAUGCCUUAAGGUGGGGGACAACAGUUGGAAACGACUGCUAAUACCGCAUAAUGUCUACGGACCAAAGUGGGGGACCUUCGGGCCUCACGCCUAAAGAUUAGCCCAAGUGGGAUUAGCUAGUUGGUUGAGGUAAAGGCUCACCAAGGCAACGAUCCCUAGCUGGUUUGAGAGGAUGAUCAGCCACACUGGAACUGAGACACGGUCCAGACUCCUACGGGAGGCAGCAGUGGGGAAUAUUGCACAAUGGGCGCAAGCCUGAUGCAGCCAUGCCGCGUGUGUGAAGAAGGCCCUAGGGUUGUAAAGCACUUUCAGCGAGGAGGAAAGGUUAUAGUUUAAUAGACUAUAGCUGUGACGUUACUCGCAGAAGAAGCACCGG